rnacentral:rRNA from 1 species
UGGGGAAUUUUGGACAAUGGGGGAAACCCUGAUCCAGCCAUUCCGCGUGAGUGAAGAAGGCCUUCGGGUUGUAAAGCUCUUUCAGGAGGGAAGAAACGGUUGCGGAUAAUACCCGCGACUAAUGACGGUACCUUCAGAAGAAGCACCGGCUAACUACGUGCCAGCAGCCGCGGUAAUACGUAGGGUGCGAGCGUUAAUCGGAAUUACUGGGCGUAAAGCGUGCGCAGGCGGUUUUGUAAGUCAGAUGUGAAAGCCCCGGGCUCAACCUGGGAACUGCGUUUGAAACUACAAGGCUAGAGUGUAGCAGAGGGGGGUAGAAUUCCACGUGUAGCAGUGAAAUGCGUAGAGAUGUGGAGGAAUACCGAUGGCGAAGGCAGCCCCCUGGGUUAACACUGACGCUCAUGUACGAAAGCGUGGGGAGCAAACAGG